UAGGGAAUCUUCCACAAUGGGCGCAAGCCUGAUGGAGCAACACCGCGUGAGUGAAGAAGGGUUUCGGCUCGUAAAGCUCUGUUGUUAAAGAAGAACACGUAUGAGAGUAACUGUUCAUACGUUGACGGUAUUUAACCAGAAAGGAACGGCUAAAUACGUGCCUG
rnacentral:rRNA from 1 species